AAAUAGAUACCCCGGUAGUCCACGCCGUAAAACGAUGAGUGCUAAGUGUUAGAGGGUUUCCGCCCUUUUAGUGCUGCAGCUAACGCAUUAAGCACUCCGCCUGGGGAGUACGGCCGCAAGGCUGAAACUCAAAGGAAUUGACGGGGGCCCGCACAAGCGGUGGAGCAUGUGGUUUAAUUCGAAGCAACGCGAAGAACCUUACCAGGUCUUGACAUCCUCUGCCAACCCUAGAGAUAGGGCGUUCCCCCUUCGGGGGACAGAGUGACAGGUGGUGCAUGGUUGUCGUCAGCUCGUGUCGUGAGAUGUUGGGUUAAGUCCCGCAACGAGCGCAACCCUUGAUCUUAGUUGCCAGCAUUCAGUUGGGCACUCUAAGGGUGACUGCCGGUGACAAACCGGAGGAAGGUGGGGAUGACGUCAAAUCAUCAUGCCCCUUAUGACCUGGGCUACACACGUGCUACAAUGGAUGGUACAAAGAGCUGCGAACCCGCGAGGGUAAGCCAAUCUCAUAAAGCCAUUCUCAGUUCGGA
rnacentral:rRNA from 1 species